rnacentral:rRNA from 1 species
AUACGGAGGGUGCAAGCGUUGUCCGGAUUUAUUGGGUUUAAAGGGUACGUAGGUGGAUUCUUAAGUCCGUGGUGAAAGCCCGCAGCUCAACUGCGGAACUGCCAUGGAUACUGGGAAUCUUGAAUUCAGUUGAGGUUGGCGGAAUUUAUGGUGUAGCGGUGAAAUGCAUAGAUACCAUAAAGAACACCUAUUGCGAAGGCAGCUAACUGGACUUGAAUUGACACUGAGGUACGAAAGCGUGGGGAGCGAACAGGAUUAGAAACCCCAGUAGUCC